UCCAACAAAAAAUAUGAGGACAUUACUACUAAAGAACUUUCCGGAUCAUCAAAACUACUUGUAUGUCAUUUCUCUUUCAGAAGGAAAACACCUGACAACACAACUUGACCAUGUCGGACUCUGUGGAUGCCAGACAAGUGAAUGCCAAAGAGGGUUCGUAUCUCACAGAUGCUGGAGUCGAUCAGACAGAUGCCAAACCAUAUUCAGAUGUUUUUCAAUACAAUAUGAACUAUCCCAGUUUGGGACAAUGUGUCAUCAUCAACAACAAGAAUUUCCUUAAAAAAACAGGUAAGAG